CUCUACUAUACCCGUUUCCCCUGGGCAUUGGGUUUACAGCCAGACCGCCCAAGUGCCUAGUUCUGAAACUAUUGGCAACGCUUUGACACGAGUCCGGCUGUGGUCUCGGACGCAUAAUAUUGUAGUUUAUUAUAGUUAAUUGUGUGUGUGUGCGUGAUUUCUGUCGUUCUUUAUGAAUACCUGAAGGAAAGACGAAAAUGUUCCAGUUGGUCAUAACGCUGCUCCUGACCAGCCUCACAUUAGCAGCGCUUGAUGACAGACCUCGCAUAAGAUGCGACUCGGGCCAUCUGCAGUUUACAAGGAGGAGAUGGUAAGAACAUCACUCUGUCCACGAAGGGAAGAGGCGCUGUGGUCGUCAACGGCGUAGACGUGGCCAAUUCCCUCU